ensembl:lncRNA
AUGGGAUUUGCUGGGAGGUUCAUGUUAAUGUUGACCUCAAGCUGCACCUUAAUGGGAGCUUUAGUGAUAACUGCAGUUGUCUGCAGAGUAUCUGUAAGUAGAACCCUUUGUUUUUAUUUAAGUAACCUUCAUUCUAAUCAUAGUUCACAAUUCUACUUUGAAAGUAACUGCACCUUUAACCUUAGAAAUAGCAUUAGUUAUAUUCCUACUAUCAUUACUUCUAUCCCUAAUAGCAUGAAUUAUAUCCUACUGCUCCCUUCCAUCACAGUUAGUGUAAUGUUCACAGUGUGGUACCUGCAGAUGUGGGCAGUGCCUUCAUUGUCAUGUUGUGUCCAACAGGUUCCAGCAGAGCACAGAGAUGUGCGGCUCCUGAUGAGAGCAGCGAGGAACAGAAACCUGCAUUGCCUGGACCCAGCUUUGCUGAUGGUAACUCUCAGCCCAGCAGGGCCCUUAUAUUCCCUGGCUGAUGGAUGUUCCCCUUUGAUGCAGCACUCCAUGCUGCCAUGCAGGCGUUUAAUAAAGCUUUGGGGGGCUGACGAUCCAUCACAACAGCACAUCAGCUGCACAUAGCUGGAUUUGGUGCCGGAAAGCAGGUUGGGUUGUGGGGUUAGUUCUUCAUUUAGGCAGCAGCUCAGCUCUGUCCUACAAUGAACUCUAUGGGAACAUGUCAGACUUGCCUCCCCUUGUGGCCAGUCUCAGAGCUGCGCUGAUUUCAGUGUGCGCAGUUUAUUGUAACUACAUUGGUUUUAGCUUUAGAGUCAAUUAACCUCCAUUUAAUUGGAAUUAGCUUUUGAGUUAAGUUCUGUUAACCAAAUUGGUUUAAGGUUUGCGUUCAGUUAACCUUACCCAAAUUGGUUUUAGAUUUGACAUCACACUUAAACAAAUUGGUUUUAGCUUAGUAAUCUAUUAACUUCACCCACAUUGGGUUUUGUUUUGUAAUCAUUUAACUGCAACUAAAUUGGUUUUUGAUUUGUUGUUAAUUAAUCUUAAUCAAAUUGGUUAUAGCUUUUCAAUUAAUUAUUUUAACAAAAUUGGCUUUAGCUUUCAAUCAGUCAUUGUUAAUCAAAUUGGCUUUAGUUUUGCCAUUAUUUUUAAUCAAAUUGGCUUUAGUUUUGCAAUCAUUUAAUGUUACUUAAAUUGGUUGUAGCUUUACAACCGUUUAAGUUUAAUCUAAUUGGCUGUAGCUUUGCAAUCUAUCUACCUUAAUUGAAUUGGCUUUAGCUUUGCAAUCAUUUAAUCUUAAACUAAUUGGCUUUAACUUUGCUAUCAUUUAACCUUAACCAAAUUGGUUUAAGGUUUGAUUUCAAUUAAUAUCAGCCAAAUUGGCUUUAUUUAUCCUUGCUUACGGGGCUGGGCUAGCCCAUUUUUUUUCUAUCCGGGCUAACCCAGCCCCGUAACCAACGCCCACAGCCUGAGGGAGCCGAGUUGCUUCCCGGCCACUCUUUGACUUGUGCCCAUUUGUGGCCAUUAUGAGAGUUACGCUGAUUUCAGCGUGUGCAAUUAUUUUUUGUCAACCAAAUUGGCUUUUGUUCUGGAGUCAAUUAAUUUCAACCCAGAUUGGCUUCAGCUUUCUAUUCAAUUAUUGUCAACCAAAUUGGAUUUAGCUUUGGAAUCAAAUUAUCUAAUCCAAAUUGGCUUAAGUUUUGCAUUCAAUUAAUCUCAACUAAAUUGGCUUUCAAUUUGGCUUCAAUUUAACUCAAUCAAAUUGGCUUUAUUUUUGAAAUCAAAUUAUUUUAGCCAUAUUGGCUUUAUUUGUCCUUGCUUACGGGGCUGGGCUAGCCCACUUGUUUCUAUUAGGGCUAACCCAGCCCCCUAACCAAUGCCCACAGCCUGAGGGAGCCAAGUUGCUUCCUGGCCACUCUGAGACUUGUGCCCAUUUGCGGCCAUUAUGAGAGUUACGCUGGUUUCAGCGCUGUGCUGCCAUUUUGAAUGUGCCACAUUGGCUUUAGCUUUGCAGUCAAUUAUUGUUAAUCAAAUUGGCUUUAAUACUGAGUCCAUUCAUGUUUGUGUUAUUGAUUUCAAUUUUGCCUUGCUGUGUAUGUAAUGUGCUGAUGCUGUAAUUGUACCUUGUGCCAUGCAAUGUACUGUAUAUUUGGAUGCUGCACCUGUAAAGUGGUUUCUGCCUCAUCCUGUGGAUGCUGCGUCUGUCAACUGCGCUGUGCCCUGUACUCAACAUGUGGAUGCUGCGCCUGUAACCCGGGAUGGACAAUUUGCUGUGUAUAUGGAUGUUGUACAUGUAAAAUGUAUUGUGCCAUGUUCUCAAUGUAUCAAUGCUGUGCCUGUAAACUGUGUUGUGCUCUGUAUUGACUGUGCUGAUGUUUGUACUCUCUGUUGCGCCUUGUACUCAAUACUGGGAUCUUGUGAGUUGUAUCUUGUGCUAUUUGUACUGCAUAUCUGGAUGUUGUGCCAUGUACUGAACUGCUGUAUCCACUUUGUGCUUGUAAAUAUGAUGUUGUUGCUGUAUUGUGUUUGUACUAUUGUAUGAGUUGUGUAUUGUGUUAAUGGAGCUGUAAUAAAGAAACAAUUAAGCUGCA